AAGGAUUUAAGUUAAAUAAACUAGUAACCUUCAAAGUUAAAAAUAGAUUAAAAAAAUUUAAACCUUA
rnacentral:tRNA from 1 species